rnacentral:lncRNA from 1 species
UAUGCCCUUUUCUUCUCUCUUUUCUCUUCUCUGUGAAUUUUUGCUGCCUUAGGCUGUCAAAUAAACACAUUGCUAGGAGGAUCACCUCAACCUGUAGGAGCUUCCUUCCUGCCAAGAAAGCUGGUUCAUUCACCACUGAGCAUCAUCAUCAUGGAAUGGACCAGCGUUUCUCUUUCACCAAAGCGAAAUGCUUAGGGAAGCGUUACCCUGCCAUAUGUCAGCCUUGAUGGAUGAGCCAGUGCUACGAUGGAUUUACCAAUCCCAUGACAUGGUAUAAAGACUUUCUCAGACCUAGCCACAAUUUUGAUAUUCUUUCUGAGAACUUUGGAGAGGCAGACUGAUGCUUUCAUUGGUCAUCUGAAAAAAAAAAAAAAAAAAAGAGUCACUACCAAGUCGGUAGUGCUGAGCUGAGGUCUGUGGAGAAAUUCAUGUAU